CGACCCCAGGUCAGGCGGGGCCACCCGCUGAGUUUAAGCAUA
rnacentral:rRNA from 1 species